ACUCCUACGGGAGGCAGCAGUAAGGAAUAUUGCGCAAUGGACGAAAGUCUGACGCAGCGACGCCGCGUGGGGGAUGAAGGUCUUCGGAUUGUUAACCCCCUUCGGGAGGGAAGAUGGAGUGGGUAACCACUUGGACGGUACCUCCAGAAGCAGCCACGGCUAACUUCGUGCCAGCAGCCGCGGUAAUACGAAGGUGGCAAGCGUUGUUCAGAUUCACUGGGCGUACAGGGAGCGUAGGCGGUUGGGUAAGCCCUCCGUGAAAUCUCCGGGCCUAACCCGGAAAGUGCAGAGGGGACUGCUCAGCUAGAGGGUGGGAGAGGAGCGCGGAAUUCCCG
rnacentral:rRNA from 1 species